AUAAAGAGAUUCGAGCUCAAUUGAAGACCACCACGUGGACGGCUGCUAUUGGUGUCUCCUCUAUAUAUACCAACCGUUACCCAGCCUGGGAGUUUGCCCUCAACACAUAUAUAUCUAUUCCACAUAGAAAGAGGGGGAGGAGGAGGAGGAGGAGGAAGAAGAAGAAGAAAAUCAGAGCAGAGCAUAGAGGUUGAAGAUGGCGGGUGAGGGCACAGCCAAUUGCAUAGACAUCAUCUUGGCCAUUAUUCUGCCCCCUCUGGGUGUCUUCCUCAAGUUCGGCUGCAAGAUAGAGUUUUGGAUCUGUUUACUGCUGACGAUCUUUGGUUACCUCCCCGGAAUCAUAUACGCCGUCUGGGUUAUUACUAAGUAACCGAUGAUCUCGCACUCCCCCGUCCGUGUUGUCUACAUAAAAUAAUUGUGGUGAGAAGAUUUGGAGGGAUGAAUGAAGGCCGUCUGAUCGUGUGGGCCCUAAUGUUCCCGAUCGUUUGAUUGAUGUGAUUUGAGGUUAGGUGGGGUGAUUUGUUUUGCCAGUGGCCAAGUACUGUAUGCGUCAGUAUAAAAGUUAUGGGUGUCAUUAAUUAUUAUUUUCUGUUUUUCUUUUUUGCCUUUUCUCCCCUCCAAAUUUCAGUGUUCAUUAUUUAGUAAUUAAGUUGGUUUAAUUCUCUGUAUUUCCCAUCUUCGUACAUAAAACAAUUAACUGAUGUUUGGGUAA